rnacentral:rRNA from 1 species
GCCAGACUCCUACGGGAGGCAGCAGUGAGGAAUAUUGGUCAAUGGACGCAAGUCUGAACCAGCCAAGUAGCGUGCAGGAUGACGGCCCUCCGGGUUGUAAACUGCUUUUAGUUGGGAAUAAAAGGGGGCUCGUGAGCCCCGUAUUGUAUGUACCAUCAGAAAAAGGACCGGCUAAUUCCGUGCCAGCAGCCGCGGUAAUACGGAAGGUCCGGGCGUUAUCCGGAUUCAUUGGGUUUAAAGGGUGCGUAGGUUGUUUUAUAAGUUAGCGGUGAAAUACCGAUGCUCAACAUCGGGGCUGCCGCUAAUACUGUAGGACUAGAGAUCGGAUGCAGCAGGCGGAAUGUGUAGUGUAGCGGUGAAAUGCAUAGAUAUUACACAGAACACCGAUUGCGAAGGCAGCUUGCUAGGCCGGAUCUGACACUGAUGCACGAAAGCGUGGGGAUCGAACAGGAUUAGAUACCCGUGUAUA